ACUUUGAUUCUGGCUCGGGACGAACGCUGGCGGCGCGCCUAACACAUGCAAGUCGAGCGGGAAGCUUCUUAAGGAUUCUUCGGAUGAAUUAAAAAGUGGAGAGCGGCGGACGGGUGAGUAACGCGUGAGAAACCUGCCCUAUACAGGGGGAUAGCCAUUGGAAACGAUGAUUAAUACCCCAUAUGACCACAGUAUCGCAUGAUACAGCGGUGAAAACUCCGGUGGUAUAGGAUGGUCUCGCGUCUGAUUAGCUAGUUGGUGGGGUAACGGCCUACCAAGGCGACGAUCAGUAGCCGGCCUGAGAGGGUGACCGGCCACACUGGAACUGAGACACGGUCCAGACUCCUACGGGAGGCAGCAGUGGGGAAUAUUGCACAAUGGGCGAAAGCCUGAUGCAGCGACGCCGCGUGAACGAUGAAGGCUUUCGAGUCGUAAAGUUCUGUUCUUGGGGAAGAUAACGACGGUACCCAAGGAGAAAGCACCGGCUAAAUACGUGCCAGCAGCCGCGGUA
rnacentral:rRNA from 1 species